AUACACGUCACCAAUUAACCUACUAACCCGCACAGCUUUGGAAUGUGGGAGAAAACCAGAGCACCCAGAAGAAACCCACGCAUUCCAGACUUCUUACAUCUUACAGUUGGUGCUCCGAGAUGAUGGUUAAAAAGGAGGAAGUGCAGGAAAUACCCAGCAGACCGGGCAGCCUCUGUGAAAAUUGAAACAAUGAGUGAUUCAGGUCUGAGACCUUUUGUCAGAACCGGGAAAGAGAGAAGAUAUAUACCGCCAGAUGAGACAACAUUCCUCCAGACCAAGGUGCACUAUGCAGUACAUAUGAUAUGAGAAAUUCUGCAGAUGCUGGAAAUGCAGAGCAACACACAAAAUGCUGGGGGGUCUUGGCACGUCAGGCAGCAUCUAUAGAAAUGAACUUUCAGGCCAAGACCCUUCUCCAGGACUGGAAAGGAAGCGGGAAGACACCAGAAUGACAAGAUUCAUCAAAUGUGUGGAGAGAGGGAGCCUGCGACAUGGAGAAAAGUUUUCCCUCUGUAUAAUACUACCUUGGCUUGUGUACCAGCUUGAACAUCAUGUAAACAGCUAGGUUACAGUAUCCAUGGUCGAUCUUGACCAAGGAACAUUGUUUCAUUCAGCAGUAUACAUGUAUACAAUUGAAUAACAAUAAACUUCAAC